rnacentral:lncRNA from 7 species
AGCGCCUGCGUGAACUGGCUGUUGACAGAGGCUCCACUGUUCACCACAGGGAUGGAAAUGCAUUCUGCUUUUUACCAGAAGCUGUUGUUGAACGUAUCUGUGAGACGUUUGCUAUUUGAACUGCGCUACUUUUUUCCACACAUUACAUAUGGGUGAAGCAUGUCAACUUGGAUUGGAAGGGCAUAUCCUGAAGACUCACACAAUUAGUUAGUACUACCUCUGCAUUUUGUAAAGUUGCAUGCCCAUGGAACCAAGGGUGACUUGGUGUAUGCAGCAUGAGGCACAUCAGCACUUUUCAUUGGACGUUGGAAGUGACUAAGAAUCAUUAGUCUGCCUUUCUCUUUGAAUGCAAGCUUGCCCUCCUUCACUCCGUCCAUCUGUAACUCUGGAGAUGGCACUCAUUCAGCGACAGAGUUGGCUCAGGUCCUUACACUGAAGCUUUGGCACAGAGACACGGGUCCCCCCGAAAUGUACCAUGCACGUGUGAUAUGAGAAGAGUUUUGUCUCCCUGGCUGAAAAAUGACUGCUUUCCACUACUUAAAGGUCACAGCAGUUUCUGACCCCACAUGUUUUAAAGGGGUCUCGGACUGUAUCACAGCACUCAACAAAACAGCCAUCAUUACUUACGGUGGAGUUUGCACUGCUGGAGACUGAGCAGCACUAUUGGCCACCCGUCAGAGCAUCUCUGUUCUGCUCCAGGCAGCCACCUGCUCUGCUACCAACUGUUAGACCAAUGUGGAGAAUUGAGCAAAAUCUGCCAAUCAGGGCCAAUCACAUGAGUGAUUCUGCGGAGGCUGAAGCAGGAUUGCCGAACUCAUUGUCAUGCGUGGCUAAACAGAGAAUUGAACCUUGUGAAAGCAUUUUUUGGCCUCGGGGAAUCAGAAAGCAUGCUUCCUAAACACACGGUGCUUUGACUUCACUUCAGAAAAGGCAAGUUGGAAGGGGUGUCUUCAGAAAGAGCGGGACAAAAAGUGUGUGGGUUUUUUUUUAAAGAUGACUGAAAACCAGCACGUAGUAUUUUAUUUCUUUUUCUGCUUCUUUUUUGUUUGCUGUGGCAUAUAAUUGCUGCUGUUGCCAAUAAAUUUACUGAACUAU